CUUUCCUUACUGCAUUUCUUCCAGUGGAUGAGAGGAGAAAUGAACUAAAACUUCCAGCAGAAGUUCAAAACAGGACUGAAGUUUCAUCCUUUUUUGCAGGGUUCCAGGUCCAGCUCUGCCUGUAUCUUUGUGUUCUUCUGGGGAAUGCUGGACUCCCAUGCCAGCCACUGUCAUCACACAAAUAUCACUUUCCCCUGGGCUUUCUGAAGUACCUUGUGCCUUGGAGCAUUCAGUCUGACUGGGCUUUCCAAAGGUGGUAAGAGAGACAUAAUUUCCAAGAAAACAUCACUCUUUUCUUCUUUCAUGAAAACAAGGUACUUGGGAUUCCUGGGUUCCUCUUCUGACUUAGACAUUGAUUCACUGUCUGGCCUUAGAUAAUGUAAAGGCCCUGCAGACACAUAGAAGCUUAGAAUCAGGGAUUUAUUGCUGGGCGUCCAAAUAAUGUCUGGAUAGACCUUGAAUUCAGAGCUGCUCCUGCAAAUAAG